rnacentral:rRNA from 1 species
UACGAAGGGGGCUAGCGUUGCUCGGAAUCACUGGGCGUAAAGCGCACGUAGGCGGGUCUUUAAGUCAGGGGUGAAAUCCUGGAGCUCAACUCCAGAACUGCCUUUGAUACUGAGGAUCUCGAGUCCGGGAGAGGUGAGUGGAACUCCGAGUGUAGAGGUGAAAUUCGUAGAUAUUCGGAAGGAACACCAGUGGCGAAGGCGGCUCACUGGCCCGGUACUGACGCUGAUGUGCGAAAAGCGUGGGGAGCAAACAGG